GACGAACGCUGGCGGCGUGCUUAACACAUGCAAGUCGAACGGUAAGGCCCCAGCUUGCUGGGGUACACGAGUGGCGAGCGGGUGAGUAACACGUGGGUGACCUGCCCCGCACUUCGGGAUAAGCCUGGGAAACUGGGUCUAAUACCGGAUAGGACCGCACCGUGAGGGUGUGGUGGAAAGUUUUUCGGUGUGGGAUGGGCCCGCGGCCUAUCAGCUUGUUGGUGGGGUAAUGGCCUACCAAGGCGGCGACGGGUAGCCGGCCUGAGAGGGUGGACGGCCACAUUGGGACUGAGACACGGCCCAGACUCCUACGGGAGGCAGCAGUGGGGAAUAUUGCACAAUGGGCGGAAGCCUGAUGCAGCGACGCCGCGUGGGGGAUGACGGCCUUCGGGUUGUAAACUCCUUUCACCAUCGACGAAGGUUUUCUGACGGUAGAUGGAGAAGAAGCACCGGCUAACUACGUG
rnacentral:rRNA from 1 species